CUUCCUUCACAGAGAUGGUCGGUUUCUUCUGCCGAAGGCCCAGCAGGAUGAAAAAGAGGACCAGAGGGAUGAAGAUCUCGAAGGCCAAGACCCACUAGAGAGGGCAGGCUGAGUGAGGCCACCUGUGCAGGGCAGCCUGGCCUCCCAUGCCCCCUGCCCAGGGCUGGACAGGACAGACCCAAGACUUCCUCUCCCUGCCAGAUAGACAGACACUCCCCCUCACCCCCCCCCCCGAAGGGCCAGCCCAGCCUGGACCCUGCAUGCUCCCCCAGGGGCCAGAGGUCAACACAGGCUCUCCAGGGCCAAUGGAGGUUGCAGCUCCCUCCUCCAGGGCCUUUACAAAGGGCGAGAGGGCAAGCGCUGUCUGGCCCAAGCGAUCAGGUCUCCAGCCCUGCAGCCCAGAUUCUGCUUGCCACACUGAGGGCCAGCAGGGGCAAAUCCGCCAGCAUGAGUCCACGCUAACCCAUGCAUCUGCCCAGCUCAUCUUCUUCCCCACCUGCAGGACCAUCUGGGCAGAUCUCGGAGGUGGCCUCUGCCAACCUGCAGCUCCCACACUCCCUGGGGUCAGCCCUCCUCCCCACCAUUGCCACGCCACUAUGCCCCCACACAAGGGCCUAGGGAGACGCGGCAUGGCACUGGGGUGGUCUGGUUCUAGCCCACCUGAGCCUCCAGGAAGACCUGGGCAGGGUUCUGACACCUCCCAGUUCCCCAAGCACCUCCUUCUGCCCUGGCCCCUCUCCCUCACCCCAGAUGGCUCAGGUGGGCGUGGCAGCCCUGCCUGCUGGGGGCCUUUGCUCAGUGUUCCCAGGAUGGCUCCCACCACCUGGCACCAAGGUGAGCCCUGGUGGGCCCUGCUCUGUAUGGGAAAGAAAUGCCAGAGCCUCCAGGGGCCCCACUUCCCCUUGUUUCACCUGGAAAAGGGAAGGACUUCAUUGUUCUCACUCCCCUACUCCAGCUGGGGUGGGGAGGAGUGGAAGGAGGAGGAGGACCUCAGGCCAGCUGCUCUUUGGGGGAGCACCCUGAGCAGGCGAGGAUGUACCCCAACCCCCACCCCGACCAGCUCUUUUCAGAUGCCCCAGGUUUCCUUCAUCCUCACACUUCCCCGACAAAACAGACUUCAGAGCCCCCACCCCCACGGCACUCUGGCCCGGCCCCCAGUCCCCUGGGGUGGGGCAGCUGCUGCCCUGUUUACUGUGCUUUGACAAUAGCGCUCUGUGGUGUGGAACACCCUGCUGUGUGUCCACGCCCCACACCCACCCCGGCCCGUGCCAGCCUCCACCAAACACCCCCUCCGCAAGCCUGGAUCUAGCCCAGGGCUGGCCAGGGAGACAUCAUGGGCACCCAUGGGGCUGGGGAGAGGCGCAUGCCACACACACACACACAGAGCAAGGGUGGCUGCAUGCAAGCGGCGAUGUAAGAGGCUGGGGUCACAGCUACGGUGCCAGCCCCACCCACACCCGACCUGCCACCGGGCACCUCCACCGCGUAACUGCAGCAACAGGCCGUGGCUGCCUCCUGGUUGCUAUAGCAGCGGCCGCGCACGAGCUGAGCUGCAGGGAGGGAGAGGAGAGGCCUGCUGGGCAGGCGGGCAGCCAGAGGGGCAUCUGGUUACAGGCAGGCAACACAGGUUCAGCCCCAUCUGGACACCUGACCUAGGCACCCCACCCGGAGCCCUGCAAGGUGGUCCAAUCCCUGUCCCUGGUGCCCCAAUGAAGUCCCUGGGGCCUGGGUGCCCUGGCCAGGCCUGCAUCCCCUCCUGCUUUGUCAAGGGCAGAGCAGAUGAGACCUGAGGGGGGAGUUCUGCCUCCCACCCCAGCAACCUAGAGACAGCGACCUGGUCCCCCCACCAGGAGCAGCCUGUGGCCCCACCGUAGACCCACAUCCAGCUAACAGGGAGGGGAUAGGCCACACUCACAGAUGAGAAACUGAGGCACAGAGCUUAGGAAGAGGGAGCAAGCAAGGCACCCAGGCCCUGGGUGCCUCCCCUCCAGACCAGGCAGGCUUUCCGCAGGGCACAUCCCCCUCAGCGAGGCCACCAGCAUGCAGGCAAAACCUCUGCUGGCCAAGCCCAAGGGUCCAACUCUGAAGCCCAAGACCCUCCUGGGAAAGUGGGGGUCUGGCAGGAACAUGCCCAGCAUCGGGCCAGCCCCAGCCCCAGCCCCACAUUGUGAGCUCGGCAAGCCCUCAGCCACCCUGGAGAAAGAAUUUCUGGUUCGCUGUAGCCACAGGCUAAGGAUCUCCAUGUGCUCUAACCAGCCCCUGCAAACACCAUGGGGCAGGGGCACAGGGAGCUUUUGGGGAGGCCCAACCUAACAGGUGGAGGCCACUCCUGGAUACAGGACAGUGGGCACCUCUCACCUGCUUGCCGGGUGCCCCACAAGCCACUGCUUCCUGCCCUGAACCUUGGGGUCCCCAGUGGAUGCAGGGGCCAUCAUUCUAGCUCCUGCUCCCAGCCCCAGUGGGUCCUUCUUGCCAAGAGCCCGAGGCUGAUACUGAUGCAUGCCCACAUCUCAAUGCCCCUCCCCCUGAGCCCCGCCCUGCUGUCCCCAGUGACCCAGAACCUGAGGCAGAAGAAGCUGCACCAGAGGCCGCCUGGGGCUGCAGGCCUGAUCCACAGGACCCAGCCAGCCAGCCCCAGGCACGCUGGGCAGGGAGUGUACCUGACCCUGGCUCCCUGCCAGGGCCAGGUGCCCAGGGGAAUCCUGCCAGGCCAUGGUGAUGAAGGCCACCCUGCCCUGUCCGCAGCCCCGGGGUUCCCAUUGUGCACUUUGAAGCCCUUCUCAAGGAGGGACCCAGGCAGGAGCUGGUCGGCCCAAAGGGUCCCAGGGCCAGAUGAGACAGGAGCCUCCCAGGCCCCAAGUAGGCAAGAGGAUGCUUCCUUCUCAGGGUCCUGACCCCAGCCCCUUCUGGGCCCCAUCCUGGAAAAUCCCCCGGGCUUGUUCAGAAACCCGAGCUGCCCAGGAUUCUCUGGUGUGUGUGCUGCUGCUGGCUAGGCAGGCCAGCAGGAGACGCCCCUGCCCUGCCCAGGGCUGAGGCGGUGAUGGCCAGCAUGAUGACAUCCAUACUGCCCCAGCCCUGCUUCUCACCAGGGCUUCUGUCCCUGACAGUGGCUGUGCCCCGCACCCUCAGGACCUGGGCUGCCCCAGGCACAGGGCAGAGCUGGGGAACGUGGUGGUCAUAGCUCCAAGCAGCAGGACCUGGCCCCUAGAGGAGCCUGGAAGGGAGAAUCAGAGAGUGGAUCAGCCUCAGGGAAGAUAGCCCCAAAGGACAAAAGGGUGCAGGGACUUGGGCUGGCCGGGGGUGGCACAGCAAGGACAUUCCCGGUGGUGAGAAAGCACUAGCCAGGGCUAGUGGACGUGAUCGCGGGGUGUGGAGGAGGAGGAGGAGGAGGACAUGGAGGAGGAGGACGAGGAGGAGGAUGUGGAGGAGGAGGAGGAUGACGAGGAGGAGGAGGAGUGCCUGCCCAAGGGCAGAGGAGUGGUGUAGGGAGGGAAGGGACAGGGUCCCUGCAGGGGUUCCAGGGGGCCUGGGCCCAGAGACCAUAGAGCUUCUGAGCUGGAUCGAGUCCCCCAAGCCAGCCCUCCGUCCGGGGAAGCAGGGGCUCCCGCGACCCCAGGGUCCCUGGGGCCGCCCCCACCCCCACCCCCGCAGCUGGCCCGGGAGAGCGAAGAGCGCGCUGCGGAGGGCGCCCGUCCCGUGACUCAGCCGAGCACCGUGAAUGUCAACGGGCGCGGGCGGCGGACUGGGCUCGGUCGAGUCCCUUCCCCGGAGGCCGCAGCGCGGCAGGGGCGGGCAGGCGGGGCACGGCUGGGAAAGGACGCCCGCCCGCCGCCCGCUCCGUCCGGGGUCUGCGCGCGCCCGUCCCGCCGGCCGCACGUGCGCGCGGGGAGCGCGCCGCUGGCCACGGUGCGCGCGGCCUCCGACUCCCGACAGGCCCGCGGCGCGCAGGGUCGCUCACCGGGCUCCGGCGCUUCAGCGUCACGUUCUUCCAGAGCAGCAGCUGCAGCUGGUGCAAGAAGCCCAUGGCGGGGCCGCGCUUCGGCCGCCUCCGAGACGCGGCCCGCUCCUCUGCGCGCCCCGCCCCAGCCCCGCCGCUCGCCGCGCCGCUCGGCAUCGCCCGCGCGGGGGCGGGGGUCUCCGGCGUCGGGACCGGCUCCCGCGCUGGCUCCGCCCCGGCGG
rnacentral:lncRNA from 1 species